rnacentral:rRNA from 1 species
UGCCAGCCGCCGCGGUAAUACGGAGGGGGUUAGCGUUGUUCGGAAUUACUGGGCGUAAAGCGCACGUAGGCGGAUCAGUCAGUUAGGGGUGAAAUCCCGGGGCUCAACCCCGGAACUGCCUUUAAUACUGCUGAUCUGGAGGUCGAGAGAGGUGAGUGGAAUUCCGAGUGUAGAGGUGAAAUUCGUAGAUAUUCGGAGGAACACCAGUGGCGAAGGCGGCUUUCUGGACCAAUACUGACGCUGAGAUGCGAAAGCGUGGGGAGCGAACAGGAUUAGAUA